rnacentral:lncRNA from 1 species
GAGGCUAUCAAUUCGAAUAAAAUAGUGGAAGAACUUUUAGACUAAAAUCUAUGUCUUUAGGCUUUAUCAAUUCAUAUACUAAUUAGGUUCUGAUUUUUUUUGUAGUUAUGGCCACUACCUUGUCACUUCGAUCACUAUUAGAUAGUAAUAAAUUGAUGGGAUCAAAUUUUGAUAGCUGGUAUUGAAAGCUAAAAAUUAUCUUGGAGUACGAA